GAGAGGUGUUCAGAACACUA
rnacentral:tRNA from 1 species